GCCGGCUUCUUUAAUGAGGCUAAUUAGGGAUCCAAAUGUUUUCAUAUGAUGCCUUUUUUUUUUUUUUUUCCUAGAAAGACAGAGUAGUGAUGGAGAUCUCACCUUCUGCUCUAAGCAGAUCCUAGAGAUCUUAAAAGUAAAAGGUAAAUGCACUAAGGUGAAAAUAGCACUGCUUUUCAGCAUGGAGGCUCUGUGUUCUGCCUCAGUUCCCAUAGAUCUCUGUUGAUAUCCACCCCCAAAUACUUUCUCAAAAACAAAACCCUUUUCUUGGUAGGGUGACUCCAAUUCACUUUCUCUUUUUUUUUUUUUCUUUCUCUUUGGUGUGUGUGUGCUGCAGAUUCUGCAGUCCUGAGUCACGGUCAUGAGGAGAAGAGCUGUAACACUGUGAUACAGAAUUUCCAAUCUCUAACCUGAGCAGACUGGCCUGCUCAUCAGCGUGGUCGCAGGGCGGCUCAAAUCCCAGCUUGGAUGCUUCAGGGUCACAGCCUUCAUCAGAAACUCCACAUCUGGAGAAGGAGAUUCUAUUCUGUUUGGGACAGAACCAGGCCCCAGAGCAAGCCCACCUAUUCAAGGCCUUCCUUCUUGCUGCACAUGACUACAGUAGAAUAUUUCUUGCUUGAGAACAUGGCGUAUGUCAGGCACACACUGUCCCCUUUUCAGCAGAUUUUGAUUGAUCCAUGAAAUAAAGCCUACUGCAGAAACUAAAAGCCA
rnacentral:lncRNA from 1 species